GGCCUAACACAUGCAAGUCGAGGGGUAGGCAUCUUCGGAUGUUGAGACCGGCGCACGGGUGCGUAACGCGUAUGCAAUCUACCUUAUACUAAGGGAUAGCCCAGAGAAAUUUGGAUUAAUACCUUAUAGGAUAUCAGAAUGGCAUCAUUUAGAUAUUAAAGAUUUAUUGGUAUAAGAUGAGCAUGCGUCCCAUUAGUUAGUUGGUAAGGUAACGGCUUACCAAGACGAUGAUGGGUAGGGGUCCUGAGAGGGAGAUCCCCCACACUGGUACUGAGACACGGACCAGACUCCUACGGGAGGCAGCAGUGAGGAAUAUUGGUCAAUGGGCGCAAGCCUGAACCAGCCAUGCCGCGUGCAGGAUGACGCAUCUAUGGUGUGUAAACUGCUUUUGUACAGGAAGAAACAUCCCGACGAGUCGGGACUUGACGGUACUGUAAGAAUAAGGAUCGG
rnacentral:rRNA from 1 species